AUGUACUACUCGUACGCUGCGGUUCUGAGCGCGCCGUCCGCAUCGACCUGACGAUCGGCCGCUACAUUUUGUUAGCC
rnacentral:sRNA from 1 species